rnacentral:misc_RNA from 1 species
UAACCCACCACAACCAAAUUAUCAUCUGUCAACUGUCAAUAUUUUCAUUCAAAGUGUCUCGGGGGGCUCGUGUUUGUUUUCUUCGCGCGUUGUUGUUGGUCUUACACCUGCAGAAAACUUUGUGUGGGAUUUCGUGGUCGGGCGGUACGAAACAAGUGGAUUCGCAAUGUCUUCCGACGAACCAGACUGGCGUAGUGUCCUCAUCAACCGCUUGCAGGAGCGAAACAGGCGGGAAGUCGUGAAUUUCCGCGGCGUCGUCACUAACAAUAAUCGCCUCUUGGAUCUCGUCGAUCAGCUCAAAGCCGAGAAUCUUCGUCUGUCCGUGCAGAAUGAGAAGCUGCGGAGCGGUCUGGGUGGCUCGGGAGGCGACAGUGCCGCAAUCGCCGCGCUUGAGAAGAAGCUCCUGACGCAGCAGGAGGAGCUCACAGAGUUGCAUAAACGCAAGGGCGAGAACGCCCAGUUGAUUGUCGACCUGAAUCUGAAGGUGGAGAAGCAGAACAAGCAGCUCAAGGAGAAGGAGGCCAGCUUGGCCGAGCAGCAAGCCGUCAUCGUCAGCCUCAAGGCGGAGGUGCAGAUGCUCAAUUCCAGCUUGCAGGAGCUGAAGGGACUCAACACGCUGCUCCGGGACGAGCACACGUCCCUCCAGCUCGAACUGUCGUCGCUCGAAGAGAAGCUCAGGAAAACUCAGGACGAAAAUCGUGCACUUGUAGAACGUUUAAUAAAAUACAAAGCAAAAGACGCUGAAAAAUUAAAUGAAGAAAAUGAAACAUUUCUCAAAAAAAGGUUUUCGUCCUUCUUCCUCAGGAAACGUUCCGAUAAGGUUCGUCGCGAUCUCGAGGAAGCCGCACGAGAAAGUCGUCGUUCGUCUAGUCCAAUAUCACUUCCGCCGGAACGGAGUGAUCGCGGUAGUUUAAGUGAUAUUUGCGGUGCAGCAGCUAAAAUGACUGGAUUUUACAGUGAUUCGUUGCCGUCCAGCGUGCAUUUAAAAUUUGAAGCCCAUGAUGGCGAAGUGAAUGCUGUUCGUUGGAGUCCUAUUGAGCGCUUGGUGGCAACCGGUGGUGCUGAUCGUAAAGUCAAGCUCUGGGAUGUUGGAAAGACUGUUUUGGAACCUCGCGGUGCGUUGGUAGGAAGUAAUGCUGGUGUCAAUUCAGUUGAUUUUGAUUCAACUGGUUCCAUGAUUUUGGGCACAUCAAAUGAUUUUGCGAGUCGAGUGUGGACAGUAGCGGAUCAGCGAUUAAGGCACACUUUGACCGGUCACAGUGGUAAAGUAAUGGCAGCCAAAUUCCUCGGUGAACCAUCAAAAGUAGUCACAGGCAGUCACGAUCGAACACUGAAAAUCUGGGAUCUGCGGAGUAAAGCGUGUACCGAAACCAAAUUCGCCGGGUCAAGUUGCAAUGAUUUAGUGACAACAGAUAGUUCCGGAUCGACAAUAAUCAGUGGACAUUUUGACAAAAAGAUACGAUUCUGGGACACAAGAACAGAUUGUUCGUCAAAUGACAUAGUCCUACAAGGGAAAAUCACAUCACUAGAUUUGUCAAAAGACUGCAAGUACCUUCUUAGUUGCGUUAGAGAUGAUACUAUUAAACUAUUAGAUCUUCGUAUGAAUCAAAUAAUAGGAACAUUUUCAAAUGAUAACUUCAAAGUAGGCUGUGAUUGGGCACGCGUAGCUUUUAAUAUGGACGCAAGCAGAGUAGCUGCGGGUUCAGCAGAUGGUUCGAUAUUCAUUUGGAAUAUCGGCGGUCAAUUGGAGACGGUCCUGAAAGAGCACUCUGCUGCAAUUACGGCGGUUAGUUGGCAUCCAUUCAGUUCAGCACUGGCAUCAGUGGACAGAGCUAAAAAAUGUGUAAUAUGGGUGGAUGCGUAGCAGUACAAUUAGGAAAGAUGGAAAUUUUAUUCUAAGUAGGUGUUGAACGCAAUUAUUUGCACAGCAAGCAGCAAAACUGGCCGCAUCUUCACAACCUUUUUCUUUUCUAUAGGAACAACGCCUUUUUCUAUCUUCGCAGUAUGCAGUAUAAUACCGUAAUCUUUUUAUAAGCCGAGCAAAAAGUAGUUGUUUGGGUAACGAGGCACGGACAGGUGCCGCUAUUGCGUCCUGCAUGCAAACCAUAGUGGAGAAUUCGCAACUAUAGGAGGAAGAGGUUUACACAGUGGAAUAGAUUCUAUUCCGGCUUCAGUAGGAUCAUCACACUUACUACGAUUUCAUUUAUUCUACGAUAUUUUUAUAUACAUAUUUACAUGAAUUUGUUAACGGAGAAGAUUGUUUGAGGAAGAGCUUCUGUUUAAAAAGGAGCCGACGUAGAGAAUACGCCAACCCUCUUUCCAUUUCACGAGAGAUUACAUAUUUUUAUAGAUAAAGUUGUAAAGCUAAGGAAAAGAUGGACCUAAUUCAAUUGCGAAUUUCUUAAUAUAUAGUUUCCCCUGGAGCUGUUCCCUCAAGCAACCGUUUCGGUUAAUUUUACGGAAAUUGACAUAAACUUUUUAUCACGUUCUACUGUUAAGAGAUAACUACACAACUGUAACCAUUUCUAUUUGACCAUAGUCCUUUUGAUUUAAGAUAAACCUAUACCUAAGUAACUCUGAAGCUACUAUUCAUUAUCCUUUUUUUACCGUCGACAAUUUCGAUAAUUUUUUUGUAUGUAGAAAAUACAAUAAAACCAACAAUUAAAUAAAGAAUCAGAAUCAGAUACUUGAAACUAAGUAGAUACAAAGAGCCAAGAAAAAAUAUUGAAAAUAAAAAUUAACGUUCGUUGUUUGUAAUGUUCAAAAUUAUGUUGUGAUACUACAUAAAAACACCACAAGAGACAUUGAGACGAACGGGAAUAA